rnacentral:lncRNA from 1 species
CUGUUCUAUUGCCAUAUUCUUCACAAAAGCAUUAGGCAGACUGGAUUUUGGCUGAGGUGUAGUCCUCACACUAGUUCAUUACAGCUACACAGAGUUUACUGAUGAGUGUCAACCAAGAUUUGGGGACUUACAACUAGGGUUUUCUGAGUGACCCCAAGUCAGCUAGUGUAGUGGGUUAGUUAAUGGUCAACUUGUAUCCCCCAGCUGAACUGAAUCAGGAUGGUCUGGGCAUGGAGGAUCCACCUGAAGACUGUUACCAAUAGCCAUAAAAAGAACUAGAGGGGAAGAUCUGGGCCUGUUGAUCUUAUAGGAGAAGCUUGCUGCACGUGGUUUUCCUGAUGUAAAUUAGGCUCUUCUCAUCCGAUGGGGAGCUCGGGACCUCGGUGUCACUGGGAAUGGCUGCUGUUUUCACCAGGGGAGCUUUGAUCUUUACUGGUGUUUCCUAAAGAAGGCAUCUUCAGCCCAGCUGCGAUUCACAGAGGAAUGAAUCAGGCUGGCACCCUCAUCAUGGCCAGGGGAAGAAGAGAAUGAGGUCUCGUCCCGCAAUACAAGAUGAUUGCCAGUACUAUCAGGAAGAGACCACAUCCAGAAGCCCCAGUGAUCCACUUCCCCUGCGCUCAGAGGUGUCCACUCCCACUAUAAAUCAGCGCUGCCCAGUCUCACAAAGACAAGGGAAGUGCUGUUCUCUGACUCGGGCAGCAGCUUUCCCUCCAACUCUUGGGUGACUCACUCUGAUAGAAGCCAGCUGCCAUGUCACAAAGACCUUCCAACAGGCCAGUGAAGAGGCCACGUGGAAAAGAACUGAGGCUUCCAGCCGACAGCUGGCCUCAACCUGUCUGCCACAUGAGCGGGUCAUAUUCAACCUGGCUCUCCAGAACUCCUGGAUCUGCCAGCCUCCAGGUUACAGCAGCUCACCAACAUCUUCAUGACUGACCUUGAGCAGAUUCACUUAGGUGGACCAUUUUUAAAUUCCUCUCUCAGAAACUGUAAGAUAACAAAAGAUCAGACUUCUGCCUAUGAAUGCUUUAAGUUUAUCUUUUGUUAUGUCAGAGAACUAUGCCAUUGUGUAGAAAUACAAUUUCUUUAUCCAUUCAUCUGUUGAGACAUCUACACUGUUUCCAAAAUCUAUUAUACAUAAAUCGUGCUGCUAUAAAUAUCACAGUUUGUCUUACAUGAAAUCUCUCUCUCUCUCUCUCUCUCUCUCUCUCUCACAUCUCUCCAAACACACACACACACACACAGACACUAAGUAGGAAGUAGAGAAAGGAUAAAAUAACUCCCCAAAUUAUCUAACAUGUUGUUUCAAAAAUAUUUCAAGCAAAUGUUUUAUUUAUACUACCAGUUCC